rnacentral:rRNA from 1 species
GACGAACGCUGGCGGCGUGCUUAACACAUGCAAGUCGAACGGAAAGGCCCUGCUCUUGUGGGGUGCUCGCGUGGCGAACGGGUGUGUAACACGUGAGUAACCUGCCCUCGACUUUGGGAUAACUUCUGGAAACUGGGGCUAAUAACCGACAUGAGCUUCCGCUCCACGGUGGGGGUUGGGAAGUUUAGGCGGUUGGGGAUGGACAUGCGGCUAAUCAGCUUGUUGGAGGGGUAGUGGCUUACCAAGGCUUUGAAGGGUAGCCGGCCUGAGAGGGGGACCGGCGACAUUGGUACUGAGAUACGGCCCAGUCUGCUACGGGAGGCAGUAGUGGGGAAUAUGACGCAAUGAGCGGAAGCCAGAUGCGGCAGCGCCGCGUGCGUAAUGACGGCCUUCGGGUUGAAAACCGCUUUCACCUGUGACGUUGCGGGAGUGACGGUAAUGAGUAAGGAAGCACCGGCUAACUACGUG